GUCUUUAUAGUUAGAAUAAAGAAUGAAUUUCGUCCAUUGAUUAAUUGAACACGAAUGGUCGAGAUGUAUUAUGUUUCUAUAAGAUUUAAAUUAAUAAAAAAGGAUGAAAUUGGUUUUGCUGUUCGUUAAGGCUAUUUUCGUCCAUUUUUUUCAACGCAGAUUUGGGGAUAUCAGAUAUCCCUGAUUAUUCUCGAUUUUCAUAAUGAUUCUCUUUGAUUACAAUAAUUUGUAUUUACCUCUUCCACGUUCAGAAAUUUGAGAUUCAAAGAACUCUCUCAAAUCAAAAGAAAAGGCGGCGACGAUCGAACCAACGGCAGAAGAAACUUGAGGGCUCCGUGUCGCCUGAAACUUCUUUCUCGCCGGUGCUAUUCUUCGAACUCGAAGCGGCGGCGGAAGAAACUUGAGGGUUCCGUUCCUCCUGAAACUCUUUUCUCGCCAGCGAUAGUCUUCGAAUUCGAAGCGACAGUGGAAGAAAUUUGAGGGUUCCGUGACGCUUGGAACUCCUUUGCAAUAUUUUUCUGUUUCACCAUCAGCUUUCCUUCAAUGAAUUAAGCUAUGGAUCGCAGGGGUGAGGGAGGUGGACUCAAACGUGCCGAACGCAGGGUCCAAGAUCGUUUUGAGAAAAUCAGAUUGGGUAUAUGUAUAGCUUGUAUAUCAUUAUUGUCGUAAGUACAUUAUAAUUUUUGGAUUCUUCAGGUGUGGAUGGUGACUUAUUGUUGAUGGGUUGAUUGUUGGAUUCUCCAGGUGUGGGAGGUGACAUGUUUGGGAUGUUUAUGUUAUAUUUUUUUUAAGUGUUUGUUUUCAAAUAAUUUAGAUAAUGCUUUUGUUUUA